UUUACGCUGUUAUGUUUGUUUCCUCAGUAUUUGCUGCAGCUCUGCUUACCCAAGCUUUGGGUUCCUUCUGUCCCACUGGGAGUGGCCCAAUUUGGUUGCAUCUGGUGAAAUUCACCCUGAGACCUUACAGAACUAGCUCAAACUACGUGAGAGCCAUUUGCAGUUCUCUCCAGACACCUGGAGAAGGGGUGACGUUUCUGAGGAUCCGGCGAGCGUGCUUCUAUCAAAACUCAGUCUGUGAAAUUUCUGGGGAAAACCCUUCUGUGUCCUGAAGGGUUCAAACUCUGGUGAGGAUCCAGUUAUCAGGUGCUCACCUGGAUGGUUCCAGCUCCCAAAGGGAAAGACUCUCGUAUCCUUGUCGUCAGGCUCGGUGCUGUCCAAGAAGAUACGGGGACUAAAAAAAUCAUAAGAAGCAAAAUAUGACUGCAGGGAAAAGAAGCUGGAGAGAACAGAAGAGCCCUGCUGUACUAAUCAUCAUACAAGUACAAAACAAAAAAUCAGACCCUGUCCCAAGCACUUAGAGCCCAGAACACGAUUUCCUCGGGCUGCCAUUUGUGUGCCAUCGGUACUCACCACGGAAGGGAGCUGGGGAUUGUUGCAGCUGUUGGGAACAAACCGCUUCUCGUCACACAGCAAUGGAAUUGGGACAACGCCUCGGCCAGCCCCUCUCUGCCAUCGUCUCCUGAAUCUGCAGCAGAGCAGUUCCAGUCCAUCCGGGCACGUGUAAUCCAGUUCCUGAUGAUCUGAGCACACGGAGCAGCGCUCAGCUGCUGUGGGGGGCUCACGGAAGGCAGAGUGUGCAUUGUCAUCUUCCUGAACCUACAGACGAAUCAAAGUGAGAAGCAACAGCGUGGAAAUCAGUCGCAUAUAUGCUAAAUAAAACU